GAACUUCCAUAUGCUGCAGAUGCAGCCAAAAUUUUUAAAAUAAUGGCAAAACUAAACAAAAAAAUGUUAGAAGCCAAGAUAUUUUCCUGCUCUUUUACUUCAAGUAUAAAAUUUGCCUAAAACUAAGAUCUUGUGCAGCCAUCUUCCUGGGAUUCUUAUCUAAGAGGGGGUUUUCACUCUCAGUUGAAACUCUCCUCAACCCACUGCUAACCCUUCUUCACACAGGCUCUGGGGGCUAAGUAAGUGAUUCAGCUCCUACUACUUGAAAUCAUAGCUACUGCCGGGUGUUUGGUGGGAUGUUUGAGCAGGGACUGGGGCUAAGCUUGUUGGGCUUAUCAAGCCUGAUGUUUUUUUUGACUGAAGUGCUAUGAUUGAAUUUGUUUUUAUGACUGCAGGCUUAUUUCCUGGUUUUUCAGAUUUAAAGCAACUAUUUGAAAUAAUAAACUUCCUUUUUCUCUUGUGAUUGAAUCUAGAGUGGUAAUAAAAAAAUAAAGAACAGCUGUGCAGAGGGGUAACCAUGGCUUCAUAACUUCUAGCCAACUUUGGAUGACAACAGAGGCCUGAAAUGCAAGAAAUGAACAUCUUCUUUGGAGCAAACAUUCUGGAGGUGCUCUGUCUAUCAGGGGGGUACGAUCAUCAUCAAAUUCUUGGAACAAGCUCCUGGGACAGGAUCUGGUAAGAACAAGUCAAAAGUCCAGCUAUUCUGCAAGAAAAUGAUGUCAAACAGUUGAGUUGCCUCCACUUUUGAUGGGAAGAAACACGAAUGAGAGCAAACUAGUGGCAAAUUCUCAUUCUUCUCCACUUUUUUUUUUAAAGAAAGAAAAUAAAUAUAAAAUAUCAAGUUAAGCA
rnacentral:lncRNA from 1 species